rnacentral:rRNA from 1 species
UACGUAGGGCGCAAGCGUUAUCCGGAAUUAUUGGGCGUAAAGAGCUCGUAGGCGGUUUGUCGCGUCUGCCGUGAAAGUCCGGGGCUCAACUCCGGAUCUGCGGUGGGUACGGGCAGACUAGAGUGAUGUAGGGGAGACUGGAAUUCCUGGUGGAGCGGUGAAAUGCGCAGAUAUCAGGAGGAACACCGAUGGCGAAGGCAGGUCUCUGGGCAUUAACUGACGCUGAGGAGCGAAAGCAUGGGGAGCGAACAGG